GAGCAGUCGUGCUCUGCACAGGUUUCUGCCUCUGACCCUGUCCUGUUCUUCCUCACAGUUCAGCCCCUCAGAGUGGAUCGAGGCUCAGAGGAGCUCCGGCCUGCAGUCACAGAGGUGGCAGAUGGCGUGCCUGACUCUCAAGCUCCAUGCCCGCCACAGCCCCUGACUUCAAUACGCAUCCUCGGGGACCAUCGUCCAGAGGCGAAGAUGUGCGCUGCUUGGUCUCCAGGAUGAACUCGUCACACUGGCUUCCUGGCAUGUACCUGACUGUGCUUAUUGUUGGAGGAGCUCGGGACCUCCAUGUCGCUGAGGAUGGCUGUGGUGCCUUUCAGGACAGCCCUGGUCCUUGUUGUGAGGGUGACUUCUCAGCUCCAGCAUAGAACCCUCACCCCAUCAGCACAGCUCCUUCACCCUGCUGACAUGGACUUUCUGGCUUCUAUCGCUGACCUUUAGGCCUUCCUGGCACAGAUCUGUAAAAGACUGGCAUGAGUCCUUCUUGUGGGCUCUGGACCUACAGAUGGACUCGUGGGAGGCGUUGUCAUGAGCUCUAAGUUUUCAUCUGGACUCAUGUGGGACAUUGCUGUAGGGUUUAGGCCCUUGACUAAAUAUUUUAGGUCUUUGGUGUUUCGGAUAGAUUUCCUGCAUUUUCUUGUGUUAACUCAUGGUGACCAUUAUAAACAUAAUAUUAUAAACUCCAUGUCCUGAUUCUAAUUGUUCUCUGCACAACCCCUGACUACAAUACAAACCCAUUUGUCUAAGGCACGCAGCUAGGAAGAACAUUCCUUAACCAGAGUGCUUUAAACUCCAGACCUUUAUUCAUUACAUGUACAGCCUCUUGAGAACAAAAAAUGGGCUCCUAACCUGUUUUUGAAAUCUACAUCAGACCACUUCCUUUUUUCUGCAUAUAUAAAUAAGGAUAGAGACUCGGCUUUACAAAUUUAAUCAUUCCAUUUCUUUCUCCCACAAACCAACCUUUACCAAGUGCUCAGAGAGGUUCAGUUAAAUUCAUAGCCCAAGAAAAAUGUAUCUUUGUGAUUAAUAUGUGUUAAAAUGAGGAGUGACAUGGUAAUAAAAUGGAAAGGUUUGGGGGCCUUUGGGGAAAUCCAUCUGACUGCAGGCUGUGGUUCCAGUAAUGAGGCUGCUAUUUUGUGGUCACAGAGGUAAUGUUUUCUGAUGCAGGCAGAAUGAUUAACAAGGAGAAAAUACCUGCCUAGCGGGAGGAGGGGAACAGGGGGAAGUAGCCUGUUGGCAAAUGGCUCAGGGGGGAAGACCACUUGCUUUUUCCUCCUACAUUUUCAGGAGAACUUUCAGUUAAGUGCUAUGAGCAGAAGUAGUGCAUUUUUCUGCUCUUUUGUUCUCAUGUUAAUUCAUACAGUGGUGUGUGUAGGUGUGAGUGUGUGUGUAAGGAUGGAUUCAAGGUGGAAGACAAGAAGAAACUGCAUUUAGGUGAUCUAUUUGGUAGAUCUUCCAGAAUUUAGGUCAGACUUGCCAUUGUAUUCUUUCCCAGAGUGCUGGCUUGCUUGGCAACUGAAGUGAUAGCAGCUGUGGGACCCUGGGAGGCUGCUAUGGCUCUGUGUGUGAGAGCACCCACAGAUACUCACAGCCUGCUUUCCCCCAGUUAGUCCUUUUUCCGUAAGCUUCCUGAAGAAUACAUGUGUAAAAUUAACACUAUUAUUACAAGUAUUUGGAUUCAAACCUCAAAGUUGGAAUCAGCUGGCCAGGUGUUUCCUCUGGUUGAGGCUGGGGCAGGCUAGAGGAAAGUGAGGGGAGAUCAAAUGGAUCUUUUCUCUCUAAUGUUAGGAUACUGAUACAAAAAGAAAGGUGCAGAAAAAAAAGGAGAGAAAAAGUAUCUGACCCCACUGUCUCCACAAGCUAUUCUAGGCUGGGUAAAACUCAGAUUUAACUCUUAUGCCAGAGUAAGAUUAAACAUCCAAAAAGUAUGAGAAUGGCUAUACAGAUUCCCCAGCAAGCUGUAUCAACUGCUUGUGUUUCUUUGAGAAUAACACCCUUAGACAAGGCAGUCCAAUCUGUUUUCUUGACCCUGACUCCUCUGUGUACAUGGCGGUGUAAGAGGUUGGUGUGCAGGUACCUAAGCUUUCCAUUCUGGUUUAUCCUUUAGAGGAACACAGAAACCAUGAGCACUCCAGAGACCGAAGGGGAAAGUGUUAUUGAUACUCUUUGUUAUCUUCUCCUCCCCAUUACAUGCUUCUCCAUAGCUUUUUGCCCUAGUUAGAUUUUGGAUGCAAAAGGUAUUUUCCUCAAAUACUUUGUUCUGUAUUUUCUGUUGGAAUGAUUUUCCUCAAGCAUAAUUUUCACGAUAUCCCCAAAUGCUCAAAACUAUCCCAUAUGUCCACCACAGUCUGGGGUACAAAUUACCAAUUUGUUCCCUCUAUUGCUUUGUAAAUAAAGUUUUGUUGAAACCCAGCUAUACUCUUUCAUUUAUAUAUUAUCUCCUGCUGUUUUUAUGCUGCACCAUUAGAGGUGUGUGGUUGUG
ensembl:lincRNA